rnacentral:rRNA from 1 species
AUACGGAGGGUCCAAGCGUUAUCCGGAAUCAUUGGGUUGAAAGGGUCCGUAGGCGGGCAAUUAAGUCAGAGGUGAAAUCCCACAGCUCAACUGUGGAACUGCCUUUGAUACUGGUUGUCUUGAAUUAUAGUGAAGUAGAUAGAAUAUGUAGUGUAGCGGUGAAAUGCAUAGAUAUUACAUAGAAUACCGAUUGCGAAGGCAGUCUACUAACUGUAUAUUGACGCUGAUGGACGAAAGCGUGGGGAGCGAACAGGAUUAGAAACCCUAGUAGUCC